rnacentral:lncRNA from 1 species
GAUAAAACAGUAAAGAAAGACUUCCCAGAUGGUGGGGAGCAAGAUUAUGAUAACCCCUUCACAAUCAUUAAGACACUCUCUAUAAUGAAUUUGGGAUAAAGUACAGAAGUCAAGAAUAAGGAGAAAUGACAAGUUCAGUUCAAUCAAGUAUCAACUUAGGAAAUGCUGUGAAAUCCAGAAUUUCUGCAAGGCAGCAUUUAAAAAAAAACAUUAUCUCAAUGAUUUGGCUUAGACUGGGACACAGCCUCUCACUUUUGUGUCUGAAAAUGGAUUGCUGCUGCUUUACAAUCUUCCUCAUCUUGCCUGGAGAAUCUCAGGGACGGGAGAGCCUGAUAGCCUGCAACCUGGAUACAUCAACAUGAUGUGUGAGAUGCCACAACUGAGAUGUGAUUCAUUUCCAUGUAGACACACU